CCUACGGGUGGCAGCAGUGAGGAAUAUUGGUCAAUGGACGAGAGUCUGAACCAGCCAAGUAGCGUGAAGGAUGACUGCCCUAUGGGUUGUAAACCUCUUUUAUAAAGGAAUAAAACGAGGCACGUGUGCCUUUUUGCAUGUACUUUAUGAAUAAGGAUCGGCUAACUCCGUGCCAGUAGCCGCGGUAAUACGGAGGAUGCGAGCGUUAUCCGGAUUUAUUGGUGUUAAAGGGAGCGUAGAUGGGUUGUUAAGUCAGUUGUGAAAGUUUGCGGCUCAACCGUAAAAUUGCAAUUGAAACUGGGAGUCUUGAGUACAGUUGAGGUAGGCGGAAUGCGUGGUGUAGCGGUGAAAUGCUUAGAUAUCACGAAGAACCCCGAUUGCGAAGGCAGCUUACUAAACUGUGACUGACAUUGAUGCUCGAAAGUGUGGGUAUCAAACAGGAUUAGAUACCCCAGUAGUC
rnacentral:rRNA from 1 species